AACGCUUUAAAGUUUUGAACACUAAAAAAUCUGGUAUACAACGUUCAUAAGCAAAUUUUAUCGGCUUACCUCUUCACUAGCGUAGCAAUUGUUGAAAAAACUAAUAAAAAGUAAAUUAUCCUACAAUAUUUUUCACGAUCCUUCGUAACUUGAUCUUCAACGGUCAUUUUUAUUUUCUUCGUUGACGCGCUACUUGUUGAAGUGCCUUCGUAUUUACGUUUAUGCGGAGGUACAAUUUUUCUAGGUCGAUAUAAUCUCGAACCAGUUGAUUGUCUAUCAGAUCUAGUAACUUUUUUAGGCAUUUUAGUAAUAAUUUAACACAAAACUUAAUGAAAAUGGAAUAUUUACUCCUACACUAAAUUUUUUACUCUACACUGACAAAAUAUACAGUACAGGUAUAAGGAGGUUUGUACUUAAGUCGUUAAGUACUAUAAAUAGAUCUGGGGGUAAGAUUAGGUAUUAUAUAGAGAAAAAAAUGUCUGCGAAGUAACAAUAGCAUGCUCGGGUCGGGUAGGUAAUAUCAUCCGACAUGUAUAAAAAUACUCGUAACUUCGUCAAUUUUGCUCCAAUCGACUUGAAAUUAUGGCACAGGAUUUUUAAGAUGUUAUGCAUUCAAUUAAAAAAAAAAAUAAAAAAGAAU